rnacentral:tRNA from 1 species
GGACAGGUGGCCGAGUGGUUGAAGGCACCGGUCUCGAAAACCGGCGCACCGGCAACGGUGUCGAGAGUUCGAAUCUCUCCCUGUCCG